rnacentral:lncRNA from 1 species
AAAUAAGUCAAACUUAAAAGGUUAAAGGUCAUUAUGUUUUCUUUCCUGUGGAAACUAAAGAGGAAAAUGGAAAAGAAAGAUGGGGAGGGGUAGAUCUAAGGAAAAUCAAAGGGAGAUCAGUAGAGGAAAGGUACUAAGGAAUUGGAGAUAGUGUGUGGGGGGAAGUGCUGGGAAGUGAUACUGGUCAAAUUAUGUUGUUAAAUUGUAUAUUGUGUGCAUGUACAAAUAUAUAAUAGUAAAUCCCAUCAGUAUGAACACCUAUAAUAAAACAAUAAAAAAUGUGGGGAAAGGGGCUAGGGUUGUAGCUCAGUGGUAGAGCAUUCACCUAGUGGGUUUGAUCCUCAGCACCACAUAAACAAAACAAAACAGAUAAAAUAAAGGUUAAAUUCUUAAAAAAAAAAAAAAAAAGAAAGAAAAAAGAAAAAGAAAAAAAAUGUGGGGAAAAGAAAAAAUGCUUACAUCCUUGUUAAAAAACCAAACAAACCAAAUUAGUGUAUAUUCUUUCAGACUCUUUAAUUUGUCUAUUAUUUUUAUACAAAUAAGAUUGUACUUUUCCCUAUAGUCAGGCUUUCACUGAAUAUUCUCAGUCCUGUUAAUUUUUGUUAGUUGGAUGAGUCAGAAAGUGGUAUCUAAUUUUUAUUGUAAAACGACAAAAAGUCCUUUUUUUUUAAAAAAAAAAGAACAAAUAACUUGACAAUUAGGGACAGGAACAUUAUCUUUUCUGUGUAGUUGAUCAUUAUUAUUGCUGAGGUUGAGAAACCCUGUGCUAUAGUUUGGAUCUUAAGUGUCUUCCAGAGGUCCAUGUGUGAAAGCUUGUUCCCUAGAGUGGUGCUAUUGUUGGAGGUCAUUGGGAGCAUGCCCUGGAAGGGGAGAAUGAGACCUUAGCCUCUUCCUGUCUUUUUCACUUCCCAACCAUGAGGUGAGUGCUUUUGCUCCACUAGUGUUUCUGCUAGGAUGUGCUGCCUCAGUACAGGUGCAAAGCAGUGAGGCUAAUU